rnacentral:lncRNA from 1 species
CUAUGUUUUGGCGCAGGAAUUUGAAGAAGUAGAGAUGGAGCUGCUGAUUGGAAGAAAUUGGAGAAAGACGAGCUGUCGAUGGAGAUUUGACAUGAAGACGGAAGAAAGUAGAGAUUGUGCUUUUAAUUUACUUGUUAUAUUUUUAUGAAGCCCAAAACUUUUAGUUUUAUUUUAUUUUGGAUGUUAAUUAAGUUUAGGGCCGAAGCCCAUGUUAUUAAGGUUAGGCGGCACGUUAGAAGGAAUUAAUUCCUUUAGUUUUGUUAAGGCCGCAUGGCCUCAUAUAUAUAUAUUAGUUUUAGGUUUAAACUUUAGAUUACACAUUCACAAUUUUAUACUCAGCCGCAACAUUAGACUUUGAUUAUUAGGUUUGACUUUGGUUUUAGUUUAGAUACACUUUUGCUUUUGAAUGCAGACGUCUUUUUCUUUCCAAAUUUUCCAUGCAUGCAAUUUUUUAUUCCUCAUGCAAUUCGAUUUUCACGUACUAGUUUCUUGAUUUCAUAGCUUUAGUUAGUUCAAUUCUUGUUUAUUUGGUUCAUCAAUUUGCGGCUGGAUUGGUUUGAUCGAGGCAGACGACAUCUGGACAAAUUGGAUUAAUUCAAGUUUGAUUUAUUUCUUGCAAUUUAUUUUCUCAACUUAUUUCGCAUAUUUUAAUUAUGUUUAAUUUUAUUUAUGUGAUUGUUUUUUUAAUUUAAGCAUGAGUAGCUAAAUCUUUUAAUUCGGCGAGAAUAAUGAAACUCUAAUUUAAUGAUCUGUGAGACCUAAUUGGUUUAAAAUUGAUUCCUAUUGAUUCCGAUUAAUUCAUAGGUUCCAAGAUAAUUCUGAUUUUAUUUAAGCCUGAUCAACUUAAGUUUAAUUGGAUUACAGUCAAUUAGUUCCUGUCAAUCCGUAAUUGUUGGAAUUGGACUAAUUAGUGAUACAACUACCGUGUUCGUAGGGGGAAUUAAUUGGUAUAUUAAUUAUUACUAGCGUCUCUAGGAUAAUUGAUAUAAAUUGAGUUCCUUCAUCAUAAUGCUGUUAGAAUAUUAAAUCUAGGUCUGGCGUCUCCAGCUAAGUUAUAUUUUAAUAAGGGAAAUAAGCAGGUCUGGCGUCUCCAGCUGUUUAUCGACACAGUAAGUAGGAAUUGGGGUACGUCCGUUGCGUUUCACGGUAUC